GAUGAGCGCUAGCGGGAGGCCUAACACAUGCAAGCCGAGCGGUAUUGUUUCUUCGGAAAUGAGAGAGCGGCGUACGGGUGCGGAACACGUGUGCAACCUGCCUUUAUCUGGGGGAUAGCCUUUCGAAAGGAAGAUUAAUACUCCAUAAUAUAUUGAACGGCAUCGUUUAAUAUUGAAAGCUCCGGCGGAUAGAGAUGGGCACGCGCAAGAUUAGCUAGUUGGUGAGGUAACGGCUCACCAAGGCGAUGAUCUUUAGGGGGCCUGAGAGGGUGAUCCCCCACACUGGUACUGAGACACGGACCAGACUCCUACGGGAGGCAGCAGUGAGGAAUAUUGGUCAAUGGGUGCAAGCCUGAACCAGCCAUCCCGCGUGAAGGACGACUGCCCUAUGGGUUGUAAACUUCUUUUGUAUAGGGAUAAACCUACCCUCGUGAGGGUAGCUGAAGGUACUAUACGAAUAAGCACCGGCUAACUCCGUGCCAGCAGCCGCGGUAAUACGGAGGGUGCAAGCGUUAUCCGGAUUUAUUGGGUUUAAAGGGUCCGUAGGCGGACUUAUAAGUCAGUGGUGAAAGCCUGUCGCUUAACGAUAGAACUGCCAUUGAUACUGUAAGUCUUGAGUAUAUUUGAGGUAGCUGGAAUAAGUAGUGUAGCGGUGAAAUGCAUAGAUAUUACUUAGAACACCAAUUGCGAAGGCAGGUUACCAAGAUAUAACUGACGCUGAGGGACGAAAGCGUGGGGAGCGAACAGGAUUAGAUACCCUGGUAGUCCACGCCGUAAACGAUGCUAACUCGUUUUUGGGCUUUAGGGUUCAGAGCCCAAGCGAAAGUGAUAAGUUAGCCACCUGGGGAGUACGCUCGCAAGAGUGAAACUCAAAGGAAAUUGACGGGGGCCCGCACAAGCGGGUGGAUUAUGGGGUUUAAUUCGAUGAUACGCGAGGAACCUUACCAAGACUUAAAUGGGAAUUGACAGCUUUAGAAAUAGAGCUUUCUUCGGACAAUUUUCAAGGUGCUGCAUGGUUGUCGUCAGCUCGUGCCGUGAGGUGUUAGGUUAAGUCCUGCAACGAGCGCAACCCCUGUCACUAGUUGCCAUCAUUCAGUUGGGGACUCUAGUGAGACUGCCUACGCAAGUAGAGAGGAUGGUGGGGAUGACGUCAAAUCAUCACGGCCCUUACGUCUUGGGCCACACACGUAAUACAAUGGCCGGUACAGAGGGCAGCUACACAGCGAUGUGAUGCAAAUCUCGAAAGCCGGUCUCAGUUCGGAUUGGAGUCUGCAACUCGACUCUAUGAAGCUGGAAUCGCUAGUAAUCGCGCAUCAGCCAUGGCGCGGUGAAUACGUUCCCGGGCCU
rnacentral:rRNA from 1 species